GAUUAUGAGCGCACCCAGAGUGCUCAGCCUUUCCAAUCAGAACAUGGGGCUACACACCAAGCCACUAUGAAUGUUGAUCCUUGCCACUGCCUGAGUGUUUGUGGCUGCCACAUACUGACCAUGAGGUGACUCCUAGUCCAGAUGAAGACUGGGGCAAACACCUUUGCCAGCCAAGAUCAUCAGAACUACCAGCUGGGAAAGAGUGACAGCCUAGGCAGUGAGAGGCUCCCAUCCAUCCCCAAACAGUCUCUUAAAAGAAGAGCUAAUAAACUUGGAAAUGGAAAGAGCCUCUUACAUUUCGGGAAACACAAAUAGACCCUUCUGGUGCUAGUCAGACUGUGGAAGAGGUGGAAACAGCCAAGGAGGGCACCUCAGCCUGGAAGUAUAUGGGUUUCUUUUGAAGGAUUCUGCCCACAAUGCUGAGAAACCACCGUCUUCACCAUAUGGGAAACCACCACAGAUGCAAGACCACCUCAGGAGAAACCAACACAUCCAUAAUCUCUGAAGUCCCUGUGGUCCAGGAAGUUUGCAAAAGGAAUCUCCCACAGAAGAUGAACUUGACCAUGAAUCACCAUGUAAGUGAGAGGGCCAAGGAUGUGAGAGAAAAACAGCAAAUUCCCAAACUCAAUGAUUACAGGUCCUCACAUGCAAAAAUAUUAAUAUAUUCAACUCUACUGUGUUGAAGGCUUCAUGAAAUCACACCUUCAAAAAUAGCAGUUCUGUCAUUUUAUACAACAUUGAAAACAUCAGAGUCAUCUGAUAAAUACUGAUCAGCCAGUUAGGUGCAGUGUGUAUUCAUGAAGUGCCAUCAUUGAUUACCUGGAUCUCAUAAAUGGUGAGUGGUGUUAAUGGCCUUGCCAGCAUUGGAGCAGCUUGUCUCUGGUCACCCAGGCCCCUUUGCUUCUGGAGGCAGAGAGAAUGUGGCACAGUUGGCUGUACUCUGUGAGCAGACUGCUUGGAGUCACACCACAGAGUCCCUUGGGGUAGCUCCAUGCCAACCCAAGGGCACCCAAGGAGAAGGUGUAAUGAAUACCUGCUACUGCUAUCUUUGCAGUGUGUCAUCUCAGCACCUAACUUGAACUGAAUAUUUGAACAUUGGCUGGCAGUCACAGCAGUGUCAUUUGGAUUUAUAUCUCAAGUGUACUUACAGUUCAUGAAGGGAUCUGUUCCAUUAUCACAGAGUGUUGUAUUGAAUUCCCUUUCUAGUUUUUUAGCGGAAAGCGGGGAAAGAAAAUGGAUAAAAAGUGACUAAUGUGGGUAAUUAUCUUUACAAUUCUCGCCAGUGCAGUACUCUCAAAUCCUUUUUAUUGUCUUUCUUUGGGCCCUCUGAGAAACAAAUCUCUUUGGAAAUUCUCACUUAUUGAAAAUCUAUAGACUUCAGCCAACCCUUUCUAAAGAGCAAGAGCGUCAUUAUGGUUUUUCUGAAGCACAAAAUGAGGUGCUUAACUUUAAUUAUACCAAGAUUUUAUAGAUUUGGCUGGCUUAAUAUCUUAAGCCUUGAUUAACAUUGGAGAACUUGUAAUCAUCACUAUUCAGGCUUGGAGGGGGGCAGGAGACAUCUACCAAGGGUGUCAAUGAUUGGAGGCGGGGGAGCUCCAAAGUGACAGAGAUGUGGAUGAAGACAAAGCCUGUGGCUCUUGAUAGACAUCGAGAAUACUCAGGUGGUUAUUGGUCAUGUGAAAUCAAAGCAAGUGUAAAUAAUAUGAAAGCAAGAGUUUACUAAAAGAACUUUAGUACAGAGGUACAAUGUAAUAAAAAAGAUAUUAAUAGCAUGCAGUUAUCAAGUACACACUGUAAUGUUUCUCAAAAUGCACCCCAAAAUGUAGCCUAUGGAGCUCUCAUGGAGCCCCCUUAGAGCCUACUACAUUCAGUUUUUAUGACUUGAAAGUCUAUGUUUUUCCUAUUUUAUUUUCUAUUUUUACUUUCCUUAGAAUGCUUGGCUUCUAGAUUGCCGGGGAUAUUCAGAUAUUACUGAAUCAGCUACAGAGCCUUUUUUCCUACUAUGAUUUAUUAUGAGUAA